UACGUAGGGUGCAAGCGUUGUCCGGAAUUAUUGGGCGUAAAGAGCUCGUAGGCGGCUCGUUGCGUCGGCUGUGAAAACCCGCAGCUCAACUGUGGGCUUGCAGCUGAUGCGGGCGGGCUGGAGUUCGGUAGGGGAGACUGGAAUUCCUGGUGUAGCGGUGAAAUGCGCAGAUAUCAGGAGGAACACCGGUGGCGAAGGCGGGUCUCUGGGCCGAUACUGACGCUGAGGAGCGAAAGCGUGGGGAGCGAACAGG
rnacentral:rRNA from 1 species